UCCCUAGCUAUGUUGGGAGAGCAGCGAACGGCUCAGUAACACGUAGUUAAUCUGCCCUUGGGACGGAGAUAACUCCGGGAAACUGGAGCUAAUAACCGAUAGAUGGAAGUUCCUGGAAUGGUCUUCCACCAAAAAGUUCUAGAGAACAUGCUCUCAAGAAUGCCCAAGGAUGAGACUGCGUCCGAUCAGGUUGUUGGUGGGGUAACGGCCCACCAAGCCAUUGACCGGUACGGGCCCUGAGAGGGGAAGCCCGGAGAUGGGAACUGAGAUAAGGUCCCAGGUCCUACGGGGCGCAGCAGGCGCGAAAACUCCACAAUGCGCGAAAGCGUGAUGGGGUUACCCCGAGUGCCGUCCGAUGAGGAGGGCUUUUACCCAGUGUAAGGAGCUGGGGGAAUAAAGGGGGGGAAAGACUGGUGUCAGCCGCCGCGGUAAUACCAGCCCCCUGAGUGAUAGGGACGAUUAUUUAGCCUAAAGCGUUCGUAGCCGGUCAAGAAAGUCUUUCGUUAAAUCCGACGACUUAAUCGUCAGACCGCGGGAGAUACUACUAUACUAGAGGGCGGGAGAGGUUGAC
rnacentral:rRNA from 1 species